GGGCACCACCCGGAGUGGAGCCUGCCGGUUAAUUUGAUUCACCACGGGAAAACUCACCCGGCCCGGACACUAGGAGGAUUGACGGACUUACUAGCUCUUUCUUGAUUCUGCGGGGGGUGGUGCAUGGUCGUUCUUAUUUGGUGGAGCGAUUUGUCUGGUUAAUUCCUAUAACAAACGACACUCUGGUCUACUAACUAGGCGUUGGAUUCCUUUGUGGGGCCAUCGCAGCUUCUUAUAGGGACGGGUGGCGUUUAACCGCACAAGAAUGAGCAGUAACAGGUCUGUGAUGCCCUUGGAUGUUCUGGGCUGCCCCCGCGCUACACUGAAGGAAUCAGCGUGUGUCCUCUGCCUGAAAAGGCUGGGAAACCCGUUGAACCUCCUUCGUGAUGGAGGAUUGGGGAUUGCAAUUAUUCCCCAUGAACGAGAAAUUCCCAGUAGGCGCGAGUCAUAAUCUUGCGUCGAUUACUCUCCCUGCCCUUUGUACACACCGCCCGUCGCUACUACCGAUCGAGUCGAUUU
rnacentral:rRNA from 1 species